GGCCAAGUUUUUAAGGGCGCACGGUGGAUGCCUUGGCACCAGGAACCGAUGAAGGACGUGGGAGGCCACGAUAGUCCCCGGGGAGCUGUCAACCAAGCUUUGAUCCGGGGGUUUCCGAAUGGGGAAACCCGGCAGUCGUCAUGGGCUGUCACCCGCUGCUGAACACAUAGGCAGUGUGGAGGGAACGAGGGGAAGUGAAACAUCUCAGUACCCUCAGGAAGAGAAAACAACCGUGAUUCCGGGAGUAGUGGCGAGCGAAACUGGAUGAGGCCAAACCGUAUGCGUGUGAUACCCGGCAGGGGUUGCGUAUGCGGGGUUGUGGGAGUUCUCUUUCACAGUCUGCCGGCUGUGAGGCGAGUCAGAAACCGUUGAUGUAGGCGAAGGACAUGCGAAAGGUCCGGCGUAGAGGGUAAGACCCCCGUAGCUGAAACAUUGACGGCUCGUUUGAGAACCACCCAAGUAGCACGGGGCCCGAGAAAUCCCGUGUGAAUCUGGCGGGACCACCCGCUAAGCCUAAAUAUUCCCUGGUGACCGAUAGCGGAUAGUACCGUGAGGGAAUGGUGAAAAGUACCGCGGGAGCGGAGUGAAAUAGUACCUGAAACCGUGUGCCUACAAGCCGUGGGAGCGUCGCACAUCGAGCUUGCUCGGUGUGUCGUGACUGCGUGCCUUUUGAAGAAUGAGCCUGCGAGUUAGCGGUGUGUAGCGAGGUUAACCCGUGUGGGGAAGCCGUAGCGAAAGCGAGUCCGAACAGGGCGUUUGAGUUGCACGCUCUAGACCCGAAGCGGAGUGAUCUAGCCAUGGGCAGGUUGAAGCGGAGGUAAGACUUCGUGGAGGACCGAACCCACCAGGGUUGAAAACCUGGGGGAUGACCUGUGGUUAGGGGUGAAAGGCCAAUCAAACUCCGUGAUAGCUGGUUCUCCCCGAAAUGCAUUUAGGUGCAGCGUCGUGUGUUUCUUGCCGGAGGUAGAGCACUGGAUAGGCGAUGGGCCCUACCGGGUUACUGACCUUAGCCAAACUCCGAAUGCCGGUAAGUGAGAGCGCGGCAGUGAGACUGUGGGGGAUAAGCUCCAUGGUCGAGAGGGAAACAGCCCAGAGCAUCGACUAAGGCCCCUAAGCGUACGCUAAGUGGGAAAGGAUGUGGAGUCGCAGAGACAACCAGGAGGUUGGCUUAGAAGCAGCCACCCUUGAAAGAGUGCGUAAUAGCUCACUGGUCAAGUGAUUCCGCGCCGACAAUGUAGCGGGGCUCAAGCGUACCGCCGAAGUCGUGUCAAUCCAACGUAUAGGGCCAACGCCUGUUGGGUUGGGUAGGGGAGCGUCGUGUGCCGGGUGAAGCAGCCGUGGAAGCGAGUUGUGGACGGUUCACGAGUGAGAAUGCAGGCAUGAGUAGCGAUACACACGUGAGAAACGUGUGCGCCGAUUGACUAAGGGUUCCUGGGUCAAGCUGAUCUGCCCAGGGUAAGUCGGGACCUAAGGCGAGGCCGACAGGCGUAGUCGAUGGACAACCGGUUGAUAUUCCGGUACCCGCUUUGAAACGCCCAGUACUGAAUCAGGCGAUGCUAAGUCCGUGAAGCCGGCCCGAUCUCUUCGGAGUUGAGGGUAGUGGUGGAGCCGAUGAACCAGACUUGUAGUAGGUAAGCGAUGGGGUGACGCAGGAAGGUAGUCCAGCCCGGGCGGUGGUUGUCCCGGGGUAAGGGUGUAGGACGUUGUGUAGGCAAAUCCGCGCAACAUGAAGUCUGAGACCUGAUGCCGAGCCGAUUGUGGUGAAGUGGAUGAUCCUAUGCUGUCGAGAAAAGCCUCUAGCGAGUUUCAUGGCGGCCCGUACCCUAAACCGACUCAGGUGGUCAGGUAGAGAAUACCGAGGCGUUCGGGUGAACUAUGGUUAAGGAACUCGGCAAAAUGCCCCCGUAACUUCGGGAGAAGGGGGGCCAUCACUGGUGAUCGGACUUGCUCCGUGAGCUGGGGGUGGCCGCAGAGACCAGCGAGAAGCGACUGUUUACUAAAAACACAGGUCCGUGCGAAGCCGUAAGGCGAUGUAUACGGACUGACGCCUGCCCGGUGCUGGAACGUUAAGGGGACCGG
rnacentral:rRNA from 1 species